UUUUCAGCCGCCGCGGUAAUACCAGCACCCCGAGUGGUCGGGACGAUUAUUGGGCCUAAAGCAUCCGUAGCCGGUUCUACAAGUCUUCCGUUAAAUCCACCUGCUCAACAGUUGGGCUGCGGAGGAUACUAUAGAGCUAGGAGGCGGGAGAGGCAAGCGGUACUCAGUGGGUAGGGGUAAAAUCCGUUGAUCCAUUGAAGACCACCAGUGGCGAAGGCGGCUUGCCAGAACGCACUCGACGGUGAGGGAUGAAAGCUGGGGGAGCAAACCGGAUUAGAAACCCGAGUAGUCC
rnacentral:rRNA from 1 species